UACGGAGGGGGCUAGCGUUGUUCGGAAUUACUGGGCGUAAAGCGCACGUAGGCGGCUUUGUAAGUUAGAGGUGAAAGCCCGGGGCUCAACUCCGGAAUUGCCUUUAAGACUGCAUCGCUAGAAUUGUGGAGAGGUAAGUGGAAUUCCGAGUGUAGAGGUGAAAUUCGUAGAUAUUCGGAAGAACACCAGUGGCGAAGGCGACUUACUGGACACAUAUUGACGCAGAGGUGCGAAAGCGUGGGGAGCAAACAGG
rnacentral:rRNA from 1 species